CAUAAUCUGUCAGAGUGUCUCCAGUAAAGAGGCUUCAGGACUGCCAGCUGUACUGUCAACAUGCCUGGAGAGAACAGAAGCUGCCUCAAUGGACAGAGAGGACAAAAAGGAGUUCUGACCCAACUAGGACAAGCUGUUUGUGCAUUAGCUGACAACCUCGCCUGUAGUGAUCCUGAUGCGAGGUAAGAUCUCUCCUGGAUGACAGCUGGAACAUCAGCACUGCCUCUUUCCUCCCUCUCCCUGUUUUUAGUCUCCUAAAACAGGUCAGUUGAUCACAUUUUGUUUCCAGUCACAUUUCCAUCAACCUUUGGUUCAUUCUGCAUUUUGUCUCACGGAUAUUGUUCGUAUCACCUUUAAUG